rnacentral:rRNA from 1 species
CCUACGGGAGGCAGCAGUGGGGAAUCUUAGACAAUGGGCGCAAGCCUGAUCUAGCCAUGCCGCGUGAGUGAUGAAGGCCCUAGGGUCGUAAAGCUCUUUCGCCAGGGAUGAUAAUGACAGUACCUGGUAAAGAAACCCCGGCUAACUCCGUGCCAGCAGCCGCGGUAAUACGGAGGGGGUUAGCGUUGUUCGGAAUUACUGGGCGUAAAGCGCACGUAGGCGGAUUAGAAAGUUGGGGGUGAAAUCCCAGGGCUCAACCCUGGAACUGCCUCCAAAACUCCUAGUCUAGAGUUCGAGAGAGGUGAGUGGAAUUCCGAGUGUAGAGGUGAAAUUCGUAGAUAUUCGGAGGAACACCAGUGGCGAAGGCGGCUCACUGGCUCGAUACUGACGCUGAGGUGCGAAAGUGUGGGGAGCAAACAGGAUUAGAUACCCUGGUAGUCCACACCGUAAACGAUGAAUGCCAGUCGUCGGGUAGUAUUCUAUUCGGUGACACACCUAACGGAUUAAGCAUUCCGCCUGGGGAGUACGGUCGCAAGAUUAAAACUCAAAGGAAUUGACGG